rnacentral:rRNA from 1 species
UGACCCGUUUUGAAGCACGGACCAAGGAGUCUAACAUGUACGCGAGUCAUUGGGAAUGUAAAACCCAAAGGCGUAAUGAAAGUGAAGAUCCAUUUCUGGAUUUGAGGAGAGAUCAUGGAUUCAACUUCAGAUUCCGAAAGGUUGUUUGAGUGAAGUAUGCGCAUCUUCUGGAGGUCUAUACCUCUGAAGGUGGGGCGUACCUAGAGCGUACACGUUGGGACCCGAAAGAUGGUGAACUAUGCCUGGUCAGGACGAAGCCAGGGGAAACCCUGGUGGAGGUUUGUAGCGAUUUUGACGUGCAAAUCGAUAGUCGGAAAUGGGUAUAGGGGCGAAAGACUAAUCGAACCAUCUAGUAGCUGGUUCC